rnacentral:rRNA from 1 species
GACGAACGCUGGCGGCGUGCUUAACACAUGCAAGUCGAACGGAAAGGCCCUGCUUUUGUGGGGUGCUCGAGUGGCGAACGGGUGAGUAACACGUGAGUAACCUGCCCUUGACUUUGGGAUAACUUCAGGAAACUGGGGCUAAUGCCGGAUAGGAGCUCCUGCUGCAUGGUGGGGGUUGGAAAGUUUCGGCGGUUGGGGAUGGACUCGCGGCUUAUCAGCUUGUUGGUGGGGUAGUGGCUUACCAAGGCUUUGACGGGUAGCCGGCCUGAGAGGGUGACCGGCCACAUUGGGACUGAGAUACGGCCCAGACUCCUACGGGAGGCAGCAGUGGGGAGUAUUGCACAAUGGGCGGAAGCCUGAUGCAGCAACGCCGCGUGUGGGAUGACGGCCUUCGGGUUGUAAACCGCUUUCGCCUGUGACGCAGCGUGAGUGACGGUAAUGUGUAAAGAAGCACCGGCUAACUACGUG